GGAGAGAUUUACGAGUGGUUAAAGUAUGCGGAUUGUAAAUCCGUCGCCCCUGGCUUCGAAGGUUCGAAUCCUUCUCUCUCCACCA
rnacentral:tRNA from 2 species